rnacentral:lncRNA from 1 species
GAGCAGAGAGGAGUGUGGAGGAAGAGAGGAGAGGCUGUAUGGAGGAUUACCACCGUCGAAUAGACAAAUCUGGGUUUUGUUUGAGUUUUAUUAGAUCUGAAUUUUGCUCUUAGUUGAAACUCUUGAUGAAUAUUAUUUCUAUUUUUGUAGGUUUGUGAUUUGAAGAUGAUGGGUUAUAUAUAGUUUAUAUAGGCUGGAAAAAGACCAUGGUAAGGAUUUGCCAUGAAGUUUGAUUCUGAUUUUAUCUCUUCUUUUGGUAGAUGAAGUGGAUGGAAAGGAUUUGCCAUGAAAGUUGAAUCUUAUUCUGUUUACUUAAUAGCUUUCUUUAGGAGAAAAACUUCGUUUUAAAUUGUAAUGUUUGCUGUUUUAUCCAAUGUUUCUGACUUUAGAUGUGUAGAGAAGCAGUGAUCUUUCGAUGUGUUUUAAAGUUAAGCUUUUUAAUGUUGUUCAGGUUGAGUGAUAUGUUUUGUGGUUCAUGGCAGGAGAGAGUGAUAUACAGAAAAUAUGGAAAAUGGAAAGCGUAGCCAUACCAGAGCAUUUGAUCAAACUCCUCCCUGUUGCAGAGCCUGGAAUAUUUGAUCUGGUGGGUUAUGUC